rnacentral:lncRNA from 1 species
UGAAAACUUAAUACUGAUACACAACAGAGUAAAAGAAAGAAGAGGACUAGAGAAGAAUAAAGAAAUGAAUAAGAAAAUACUAAUCUGAUAAACUGAUGAAGAAACUACAGAGAUUGAUAAACUAAACAAUUGAAAUGACGAGGAGCUAAGAAACUGAUAAAAUUGAAGAAGAAAGCUAAAACUGAGAAAAAUGAAGAAACUGAGAAGAAUAUGAAACUGAUCAACUGAUAACUUGAAAAGAAACUGAAGAAGACUAAAUGAUUUAACUGACAAACACAUAAAUGAAGAAAGACUAAGGCUUGUGUCUGGUCAUAUAUGAUACCUAGACUGAAACAUGGCAAAACAUCGUGUCUGAAGCCUUGGGCAACUAGUGCUGACUAUCUACAGGGCAUCGAAAUCGAUGCCAAGAGUUUCAUCAUCAUGAAAAUCAGAUGAGCAUGAGCAACCCUAUCUCCAGAUUAGUCUACAUCAUGAAUUUCAACCAUCCAGACUUGGAAGUACAUUUGGCCAUGCUUCGCAGUGGAGUACUUCAUGCUGAUGCAGUGAUCUCCACUCAUCACCAACGUGGCUGGACUGUUCCUGCAGAUGUCUAUGUGUCAAAAAUGGACAUAGAAAAGACAUUAAUAGAAAAAAAAUCAAUGAAGAUAGAAUGAUAUAUUGUUAAGGUGGUGCCUUACCCACGGAUCGGGACCACAAAUAGCAGCUUUGCAUCAGGACUGACAUAGAAACCACCCUGUACAUCCCAGCCUUGUCCUGCUCACAACAACCACAUUAGCAGAUGUUAUAUUUAGAAAGGUAUGAGCACUUUACUUCAAUCAGAAUUAUUUAAUGAUAAUGAUUCCAUCAGCAGUAACAACCAAAUCAUCCCAAUGAUCAGCUCAAGAUAGACAAGAGCUAUGUGCUUGUGGUACAGAAAUUGGACUACAACAGACGCUACCUGGUGGAGGAAGGGUACCAACCCAAACUGAAUCAAAAGGCUAAGCAAAAACUUCUUGACUGUUUUAGGGCUUGCUUGCACUCCGAUUUUUUAGUGUGAUCUGAUUGGGAUUGGUUGGGUUGGCUGCUGCUGCUAAUGGCUCUUGGCAUUUGAAUGCAG